rnacentral:lncRNA from 1 species
AGAUUUGCCAACAUCAAAGCAAUAGUAACAAAAUGAGUCGUCUCUUUAAUUUAAACUUCACCUACUCACAAGUUCAAAGUUCCUUCUCUCUCCCAAUGUGGCCCCUCAUUCAAGACACAGGCUUCUCCUUCUCCUUUUAGACCAGUUCCCUGAAAACAUUAGACUAAUGACUAGUCCAUCCUGGAUGGUUGCAUGAAUGAGGAAAUUUGCAAAAACAGUUCUAGCAGGAUGUCUAGUGAGUUUGUGUGCCCCAUGCCUAAUAUGGAGAGGAGAGACGAGAACUGGAGAGCUGGGAUGCUGGAAUAGCCUGCACUCCACAGAUCGACAAAGCAAGACAUUUUCAUGGACCCUACAGCUCACAGGGCUUAAUUUUGUUUCUCAACCAAAAUGCCAAGAUCAAGCUGAGCUGAAAUCCUGACUGUUUGGAGAAUGGUCUUUCUCCAGAAUUCAGACAACUCUGAAAAUCCAAGUCUGGAUUUUGCCAAGGUCUUUCUCCAGAAUUUAGGCAACUCUGAAAAUCCAAGUCUGUUGCUAGAAGAUAUCUUACUCUAAGAACACACUUUAUUUCAGACAGUGGGAGG